CUUCUCAAUUCAGCAGCAAAUAUACUAAAAUUGGGAGGAUACAGAAUAGAUUAGCAUGGCCCCCUCCCAAGGAUGGCAUACAAAUUCCCGAAGCACUCCAUGUUUUU